AUCUAACUGACGAGUUCGAAAAAGGACGAAAAGCUCUUCCUAAAU
rnacentral:hammerhead_ribozyme from 1 species